UAUAUCAAACAGCUGGGCAAAUAUGCCGAUA
rnacentral:sRNA from 1 species